rnacentral:tRNA from 1 species
AAUAAGGUGACCGAUUUAAGGUAUUAGUCUCUUAAAUUAAUUAUGAAUAAGGUAGUUAAAUUAAUAUUAAUUU